AUUGAACGCUGGCGGCAGGCUUAACACAUGCAAGUCGAGCGGAGUGAUGGUGCUUGCACUAUCACUUAGCGGCGGACGGGUGAGUAAUGCUUAGGAAUCUGCCAUUUAGUGGGGGACAACAUUCCGAAAGGAAUGCUAAUACCGCAUACGUCCUACGGGAGAAAGCAGGGGAUCUUCGGACCUUGCGCUAAAUGAUGAGCCUAAGUCGGAUUAGCUAGUUGGUGGGGUAAAGGCCUACCAAGGCGACGAUCUGUAGCGGGUCUGAGAGGAUGAUCCGCCCCACUGGGACUAAGACACGGCCCAGACUCCUACGGGAGGCAGCAGUGGGGAAUAUUUGACAAUGGACGGAAGCCUGAUCCAGCCAUGCCGCGUGUGUGAAGAAGGCCUUUUGGUUGUAAAGCACUUUAAGCGAGGAGGAGGCUACUAGUACUAAUACUACUGGAUAGUGGACGUUACUCGCAGAAUAAGCACCGGCUAACUCUGUGCCAGCAGCCGCAGUAACAC
rnacentral:rRNA from 1 species